rnacentral:rRNA from 1 species
AGUGAACGCUGGCGGCAGGCCUAACACAUGCAAGUCGAACGGCAGCACCGGAAGUGCCUGCUGUUACGGGGGGCCAGUCGCGGCCGGGGGAGGAAUACACCGGAAUUUACCUUUCCGUGAGUGUUAACGAAGGGAGACUAACGCUAACAACGCCCACGACGUACGGGUGGAAGCAGGCGAUCUUCGGACCUUGCGCGAUUGAAUGAGGCGAUGACGGAUUAGCUUGUUGGCGGGGUAAAGGCCCACGAAGGCGACGAUCCGUAGCUGGGCUGAGAGGGUGAUGAGGCACACUCGAACUGAGACACGGUUCCGACUCCUACGGGAAGGAGCAGUGGGGAAUAUUGGACAAUGGGCGCAAGCCCAAUCCUGCCGUACCGCCUGGGUGAGGGAGGCCUUCGGGUUGUGAAGGCCUUUUGUUGGGAAAGAAAAGGAGCAGGUCUAUUCCCCGGGGUUGUGACGGUACCCGAAGAAUAAGCACCGGCUAACUUCGUG